GCGACAUGUCCAGAUCAUUUUCCGUAGAAAACCCCGAGAGGGUUGUUUUGUAAAAUCUACAAACUGUGAACAUUAUCGAAGCAUUGCAGAAGCCCAGGGACAGUUAUGACAAAUUAAAUCAUAGUUAUUCAUGCCCGGGAAAUUCCGAUCAGCCAAAAGGGAAGCUUGAACUUGAAGGUCACAAACAUGUGCAAGAUUGCAGAUCCACAUUGCCUCGUCUGAUGUCAUGUCGUGUGCAGUGAGCAUUUCUUAGGAGAAAAACAACCCUACUUUACCCUAGACUAGAAAAAAGACUGGAGGUCAGAAUGCAGGAUGAUUGAGCAAGGAGUGCUGGCAGAUGGACUAUUGAGGUCAACAAAAAAUUUGGACUUUCACCAGGCGGACACAUGUUCAGCAAGAAAUUCUCACAUCAAAUGAAUUAUGGCUGUCUGUGGAAAAGAGAUUUUCUCAGAAUAUAUCAUGUCAGAAGCAGGAAUUACAUAUUUAUCUGAUCAAAGAAAUGUUUUUGUAGAAAUAUGGAAGUCAAUGCAUGUUAUCAAAGUCACUGCUGCUUGUUGCAUGAUUCCAUUCUUGAUUUUUUUCAGAAACUUUCAGUCAAAAAUAGCUUUAUUUAUAAUUAUAUAAUGUUUAAUUAUUUGAUUCCCAAGUACCCGAUACAGUGCACGCUUUGUAGAAUGUGAUUACUUUACAAAAUCUUUGAUUCAGAUUUGAAAUCUUACUCCCAGAGUGAAUUUUUCAAGCAUUAUCUUUCAUUAGAUUACAAUGUGAAGAUUUACAUGUACUGGCAUUACAACAACUUGUAAAUGAUAUAUACCUAGCUCUAUGUAUUCAGUUGCUUUACAUUUUCAAAUACAGUUAAAAUCUUAAAAUACAGUUCUGGAAUAUAUAAAAAUGUGCCUGCUUUAGAUCAUUUAAAAUUUAGAUUUUUACAAAUGAACUACAUAUACAUGUACUUGCAGUAGAAACCCUCAAGAGGUAAUUUUUAAUUCAAUUUCAAUACAAGUUAUUGACACUGAUCAAUAAAUGUUUGUGCUACAAAUUCUCAAAAAGAAAUUUCAUCCUUGAAUAAGUAUUUUGCAUCUAAAUGUGAAAUUAAGUUUGAUAGUUGCAUGCAUAUUAUUGUUACAAAGUUCAAGGAUGACAUUUUCAGGCAAAGAUGUCAAAGGGUAUUUGAUUGUCAUAGAUGGCUUUUUUGUUAUCUUAAAACUCCAGCAAAUUUUACACAAUAUAUGAUCACAUUGAGGAGUUGUAUUUAUUGGUGCUGAACAAACUAUUUUAGGAAUGCUUCGCAGAUUAUAAAGCGUAAACUGACCCAAACCAGGUUAUACUCGAAUAAUUUGGCCAAGAAUUAGAGUCAUUCCUUAUAAUUUAAUUUUAAAAUCAUUAAAUAACUAUGGGUGUAAAAUUUCGUUGGUUUUUAUUAAUUCAAAUUUGCCGCUCAAUAAUACAACCGUAGUAACGGAAGUGAUGGGAAGCGAGGGGAGGUAAAAACUAAUACAUAGGCCUAGCAGCUUGUUUACAUGUGUUAAGAUCGAAUUAUUGUUUGAAGUUAAAGGUAUAUUUAUUAAAUCUGGAAUUUUCCAUGAAUCCCGAGGACUGGAAAUGAGAGGAUUGUAUGCAUACAGAUGAUUCAGCUGGUUGUCAGGGGGGUGUGUCCCCAUACCAAACCAGGUUAUACAGAAAUAAUUUGUGUUCCUUUUUGGAUAUUAACCAAUCAGAGGAUAGAAUACAAACAAAAUUAAAUUAUAUACUUAUAAAUGUGUGUAGGUAUUUAUUGUCCCUCGCUUUCGCAAAAGAGAGGGGACAUUAAAUCUCAUUCGUCUGUUGGUCUGUCUGUCACAAAAACUUUAACCUUGGCCAUAACUUUUGAGUGAGGAGAGAUUGGGCUUUUGCAUUUCACAUGUACAUUACCUGUAACAAGACCUUUCCAAAUAUACUGUGAAUUUUGACCCCGUGGGCUUGGCCUUGAAGUUUGACCUACUUUUCAAAAAAAUUAACAUUACCUUAAAUUGGUCAUAACUUUUGAAUGAGAAAAGAUAGGACUUUCAUAUUAUGCCUGUUCAUUACCUGUGACAAGACCUUUCGAAAUUAUACUAUGACUUUUGACCCCGUGACCUUGACCUUGAAGUUUGACAAACUUUUCAAAAAAUGAACAUUUCUUUAAAUUGGUCAUUAAAUUUUAUGAGAAAAGAUAGGGCUUUCAUAUUAAAUAUGAACAUUACCUGUAAGAAUACCUUUCCAAAUAUACUAUGAUUUUUGACCCCAUGACCAUUACCUUGAAGUUUAACAUUUCUUACCUACUUUUCAAAAUUUUUAUCUUUGCUUAUAACUUUUGAUUUAGAAUAGUUAGGGCUUUCAUAUUUGACAUGUGCAUUAGUAGUGACAAAGUGUUUCCGAGCAUGCUAUAAUUUUUUACCCCUUUACCUUGACCUUCAUGUUUGACCUAAAUUUAAAAAUUUUUAUAUUUGGUGAUUACUUUUGAAUGACAUAUGAUAAGGUGUUCAUAUUUGACAAGUGCAUUACCUGUGUCAAAAUGUUUCUGAAUAUGCUAUGAUAUUUGACCCUGUGACCUUGACCUUCCAGUUUGGCCUAAUUUUCAAACAUUUCAUCAGUUUGCUAACUUUUGAAGGAGCAAAGAUAGGGCAUUCAUAUUUGAUAAGUGCAUUACCUGUGACAAGUAUUUCCAAAUGUACUAUGAUUUUUAAUCCCAUGACCUUGACCUUGAAGUUUGACCUAAUUUUUAAAAAGUUUAUCAUUGUUAAUAACGCUUGAUUGAGAGAAGAUAUGGUAUUUACAUUUGACAUGUGCAUUACCUGUUUCAAGACCUUUCUGAUUGUAUACUCUGGUUUCUGAUAUUUUUUUUUACAUGUGCAUCACUUGUGAGAAGAUCUUUUGGAUUUUAUUAUGAUAUUUGACCUCAUGACCUUGAUCUUGAAGUUUGAUGUAGUUUUGAGAAGCUAUAGUCUUUGCCAUAACUGUUAUUAAUUCAAUAAUUUAUGUCUUUUUGUUUGAUGCACAGAUAAGACAGGACAAACAAACAAGACAGUUACAAUAUGCCAUAAAUUAUGGCAUCCCAUCCACUAAGACAUCGAAAGCGAGGGACCACAAUUCUUUGAAUUUGCUUGUUGUUUUCAAAACUUAGUUUACAAAUGUAAAAUAUCUAAUAAUAACAUAAUACCAGGGACCUAUAUGUAUAUAACUACAUAUACAUGUAUAGGCAUAUAUAUUAGUCCCUCUGAUAUUCAUUUAUUAAGCAUUGAAUGGCAUGUUCAC